UCGGGAAUUUUGGGCAAUGGGCGAAAGCCUGACCCAGCAACGCCGCGUGAGGGAUGAAGUAUUUCGGUAUGUAAACCUCGAAAGAAUAGGAAGAAUAAAUGACGGUACUAUUUAUAAGCUCCGGCUAACUACGUGCCAGCAGCCGCGGUAAUACGUAGGGAGCAAGCGUUGUUCGGAUUUACUGGGCGUAAAGGGCGCGUAGGCGGCAUAUUAAGUCAGCUGUGAAAUCUCCGAGCUUAACUCGGAACUGUCAGCUGAUACUGAUGUGCUAGAGUGCAGAAGGGGCAAUCGGAAUUCUUGGUGUAGCGGUGAAAUGCGUAGAUAUCAAGAGGAACACCUGAGGUGAAGACGGGUUGCUGGGCUGACACUGACGCUGAGGCGCGAAAGCCAGGGGAGCAAACGGG
rnacentral:rRNA from 1 species